ensembl:snRNA U6 U6 spliceosomal RNA
UUGCUUUGGUAGCACAUAUACUAAAAUUUGAAUGAUACAGAGAUUAGCAUGGCCCCUGUGAAAGGAAGACAUGCAAAUUCAUCAAGCGUUCCAUAUUUAU